AGGUACCUACGGGACGCAGCAGUGGGGAAUAUUGCACAAUGGGGGAAACCCUGAUGCAGCGACGCCGCGUGAGUGAAGAAGUAAUUUGUUAUGUAAAGCUCUAUCAGCAGGGAAGAAAAUGACGGUACCUGAGUAAGAAGCCCCGGCUAACUACGUGCCAGCAGCCGCGGUAAUACGUAGGGGGCAAGCGUUAUCCGGAUUUACUGGGUGUAAAGGGAGCGUAGACGGCAAUGCAAGUCUGGAGUGAAAGGCGGGGGCUCAACCCCCGGACUGCUCUGGAAACUGUACGGCUGGAGUGCAGGAGG
rnacentral:rRNA from 1 species